AAAAAGGCAGAUACUGUAGUAUAUUAUUACAUUGAUCAUGCCUGGUACAACGAACCCUCUUGUUGUUGAACGUGUAAUAGGAGAUGUUCUGGAGCCCUUUGCAAGUUCUAUCCCUUUGAGAGUUGUUUACAACAAGAACAAAGAAGUCAUCAAUAUCGGUGAGCUCAAACCCUCCCAAAUAUAAUCAACCAUCCAAGAGUUGAGGUUGGUGGAGAUGAGUCAGGAUCCUCUAUCUACACUCUGGUCAUGGUGGAUCACGAUGCACCCAGCCCAAGUGACCCAAAUAUGAGGGAAUAUCUGCACCGAAGAGAAUGUCUUUACCUCUUCAGGAUGGCGCCAAAAUUACAUCAUGACGAGAGAUUUUGCUUAUAAUCUUGGCUUACCAGUUGCUGCUGUGUAUUUCAAUUGUCAACGACAAGGUGGUUCUGGGGAAAGGAGGCUAAUGUUAUGAUUAUAAAUACUUAUAUUCGAAUUCGAUAGAAAGAAAAUAAUGGAAUAAGUGUUAGUUAUUACUUAAUUAUUAUUGCCCGAGCUAGGUGUAAGUGUAACCCCUGCAUAAAUCGGAUCAUGAUUUUGAUGACUGUAAAACUAUUAGAAGCCUUUUAAUAUGACAAGAAUAAAAAUGUACUGUAAUUCAUUUUA